rnacentral:rRNA from 1 species
AAGUCGAGGGGCAGCAUCAUCAAAGCUUGCUUUGAUGGAUGGCGACCGGCGCACGGGUGAGUAACACGUAUCCAACCUGCCGACAACACUGGGAUAGCCUUUCGAAAGAAAGAUUAAUACCGGAUGGCAUAAUUAUUCCGCAUGGGAUAAUUAUUAAAGAAUUUCGGUUGUCGAUGGGGAUGCGUUCCAUUAGGCAGUUGGCGGGGUAACGGCCCACCAAACCUACGAUGGAUAGGGGUUCUGAGAGGAAGGUCCCCCACAUUGGAACUGAGACACGGUCCAAACUCCUACGGGAGGCAGCAGUGAGGAAUAUCGGUCAAUGGACGAGAGUCUGAACCAGCCAAGUAGCGUGAAGGAUGACUGCCCUAUGGGUUGUAAACUUCUUUUAUACGGGAAUAAAGUGAGCCACGUGUGGCUUUUUGUAUGUACCGUAUGAAUAAGGAUCGGCUAACUCCGUGCCAGCAGCCGCGGUAAUACGGAGGAUUCGAGCGUUAUCCGGAUUUAUUGGGUUUAAAGGGAGCGUAGGCGGGUUGUUAAGUCAGUUGUGAAAGUUUGCGGCUCAACCGUAAAAUUGCAGUUGAUACUGGCGACCUUGAGUGCAACAGAGGUAGGCGGAAUUCGUGGUGUAGCGGUGAAAUGCUUAGAUAUCACGAAGAACUCCGAUUGCGAAGGCAGCUUACUGGAUUGUAACUGACGCUGAUGCUCGAAAGUGUGGGUAUCAAACAGGAUUAGAUACCCUGGUAGUCCACACAGUAAA